CUUAUUUAUUUGCAAACAUGUCACAUGGUAAGGACGCAAAGCCACGGGUCUAAGGAUAGUACUACUACAAUCAGGAUAGCCGGGCUGCGGAA
rfam:Desulfosporosinus youngiae DSM 17734 chromosome, whole genome shotgun sequence.